CAAUAGCGUAUAUUUAAGUUGUUGCAGUUAAAAAGCUCGUAGUUGGAUUUCGGUUAAGAGCGACCGGUCCGCCGUUUGGUGUGCACUGGUUGGUUUUAACUUCCUGUAGAGGACGUGCUCUGGGUUUAACGACCUGGACUCGGAGUCUACGUGGUUACUUUGAAAAAAUUAGAGUGUUCAAAGCGGGCUUACGCUUGAAUAUUUCAGCAUGGAAUAACACUAUAGGACUCCUGUCCUAUUUCGUUGGUCUCGGGACGGGAGCAAUGAUUAAGAGGAACAGUUGGGGGCAUUCGUAUUUCAUUGUCAGAGGUGAAAUUCUUGGAUUUAUGAAAGACGAACUUCUGCGAAAGCAUUUGCCAAGGAUGUUUUCAUUAA
rnacentral:rRNA from 1 species